CUGACCUGUGAACAGCAGCAAUACCCAACAAAGCGUCUAGUAUACCGGAAGACCACACGAAGAAGAAGAAGAGCUCAUAAACAGGAGCCAUUUUAACAUCUUUCUCAGACGGCGCCAAACUACACAGAGAUAAUCCAAGAUGUCUGACGAGGGGAAGCUUUUUGUUGGAGGAUUGUGUUUUGACACUGAUGAAACUUCACUGGAAGAGGCGUUUUCAAAAUAUGGAAACAUUGCUAAAGUCGACGUUGUCAGAGAUCGUGAGACUCAGAGAUCCAGGGGUUUCGGCUUUGUGACUUUUGAAAACCCAGAAGAUGCCAAAGACGCAAUGGCUGCAAUGAAUGGCAAGUCGGUCGAUGGCAGGAUGAUUCGUGUGGAUGAAGCUGGCAAGUCCGGAGGAAGAUCUGACCGCGGGGGCGGCUUCAGGGGCGGUUCUGGUGGUUUCAGGGGUGGUUCUGGUGGCUUCAGAGGGGGCAGAGGAAGAGGUGGUGGAGGUUAUGGUGGGGGAGAAAGAAGCUAUGGCGGUGAUCGCAGCUAUGGCGGGGAUCGCAGCUAUGGCGGGGAUCGCAGCUAUGGGGGUGGCGGGGACCGCAGCUAUGGGGGUGGCUACAGGAGUGGUGGUGGUGGGGGAGGAGGAUACUCCUCUGGGGGUGGCAGCGGAGGUUACAGAGAGGCCAGGAGUGGAGGAGAAGGUGGUUAUGGUGGCCGCUCUGGGGGAUCCUACCGAGACAGCUAUGACAGCUAUGGUAAGUAUAAAGAUGUAGCCUAGUUGUUGCCAUGAUCUCACUGUUAGUACGAACUAGAAAUGUUUAGGAGGAACUGGACAUGAUUGCAUAGACUCCCAGAACGACCCCUUUAAGACUUUGUUGCUCAGAAACCGAAAGCCUGUGCCCUCUUGGAUUAGUAUGUUAAAAUACUCAUGUCUGCUCAAAGAAUCAAACAUUUCUUUGAAACAAUGGAUAUCCAGCCCUCUACCACCUUAUCCAAAAGCAGAAAGACAUUCCUAGAUUUUUUCACUCAGUUUCUUUUGAAGAGGCAUAGGUUCUUUCAAUACCCUUGUCCUGGUGCUUUCCUGUUGCAAUGAUAACUGUGGCACAAAAUAUAAAUGGGCUCUAGUCUACUGUGAGAAAUGUCAGAAUGCUGCAGUGCCUUUACACUUGUGCCUACUUCUUGUCCUCAGCUACACACGAGUAAAAACAAAAACAAACUUCCUGAUUGCAAGAUCGUCCCAUCGCUGGCUGUUUUUUUAAAGAUGCGCUCUUCGAAGACUUUUUUUUUUCUGUUUGUGGUAUCUGGUUCUAGUGUUUUCUUUAACAAAUCAGCAUCUUUAGUCCUUUUUUAUCGUGUUGAAAGUAUUCUUCAGGAUCUCUGUCCUCAUGGCAGUAACUGAAAUCCUGUAGCAUUUAAUUACUGUAAGCCUUGAUGCUCAGUAAGGGUCUGAGUACCUUAAGCUCAAUAUGCCCUCCUGUUGCAGGGAGAAUGCACUGGGAGAAAAUCAAAUUUGAUAAUUUUAUAAAAAUGCCUUUGUUUGCAAUUAAACCUGUUUCUACUGUUGAAUCGUAACCUGUUCAACACAGCCUGAUAGCUUCUAAGACAAAUUCAAUCUUGACGAUGUUUCUGCUCAAUCGAAAGACUCAAAUAUCAGUAGCGACAUGUUUCCAUUUAAUCUAAUUUUUAACUGGAGUUGUAGUGAAUUCUGGUCUUUAAAAAAUAUUAAAUCUAUGAAAUUUACACUAGAAGCUGGAAAAGCUGUGAUUGUGCUCUAAAGACAUGUUGCUCCUUCAGUUCUGUAAUGCAUUCCUUUAGUGUAGCAAGGUAGGAAUGCUAAGUGGGAGCACUGGUUUCCAGCAGACCACCUUGAUAUUGCUAAAGAUUUGUCAAUACUCGGUAUCCAAAGAGUGAAUUACUUUGACUGGUGAACCUACUUCGGCUCUUUGGGCUGUAUUCUAGGUGUUAGUUGCAGCCUUCUGCAGUUGGCCUAAGGUACUUUGCUCUUUGCAAACAUGUGCAUAAUAUGCUGAUGGACUGAACGUUCACUCUCAAUGUUACUUCAAGGAUAUGUGCUCUCUGUUCUGUUAACCAACACCUAAGAUUUUUUUGUAUAUCCUGGCUUCAUGAAGCCUAUUAAACAACCCCGUUGAAAAUGCUCUGAUUUAUUGUGCCUUCAAAGACCUAUAGCCUGUUCACUAAGCCAGCUGAAUGUUAUGUAAUGUGAGUGGUAGCGAGGGAUUAGUAAGUGGGUUGAGUGAAAUGAUGGAAUAGUCUGCUGGAAAGGGUAUUCUGCAAAGCAGGAUUUCAUUAUGAAAGGGUGGCUGGGUGUAAGUCUCAUUUAGGAAUAUUGGGAGGUCCUCUGAAUUAAUACUCAAAACAUGCUAAAGGGUCUACCCUGAUGCUGAAGCUAGUCAAUGUACGGGGGUGGCUGGGGGUGUUGAAAGCAGAAUAGAAAUGAAAUGUCAUCCUGGUGCUGGCACUGGUUCUUUUAUAACGCUUCAUUGCGCCCAAGAGCUCUACUAUCGUUUUGGAAAUCAACAAAGUCCUUGGAGAAUGAAGUGUUGUGCCUACCGACAUGUGAAUCCUCUCUGGUGAAUGCUGCUCUCUUGGCUAGUUCAUAAGUGGAUAUAGGCCAGUAAUGUGAGGUAACGACUUUUGCUCUCCUGUUCGCAUCCCUCAAACAGUUCUCAUUUUGAUGUCCAUCUUAUCUACCUUCAACUUUGCCCAAGCACCGCUGUCACUUCCUCAGGCCCUAGACGUUACUGUUCAAUACCCAGAGUUGCAUGAGAACGUCCAGUAAAGUAUCCAGUUUUUGGAGAAACGUUUCACCCUGUCCCCCAUUAGACCGAGGGGACUGCUAGAGCCUCUGAAAAUCAACAUUGAGCUUUUGCAAAUUCCAUGAGCAGUCAUUGCUAAAGUAUCCCUAGUGUAAAUCACAAUAUUCUAAGUUUGAUCCAUCUGUGAAACCAGUGUUUUGUACUGUUCUCCCAGUGAUUGCAAAGUUGUCUUCAUCUUAAAUUCUAGACUCACCUUUUUCUUGUAAAGUAUCACUAUGUACAGUUUAGUAAAUGUCCAGCUUUCAAAACUUGAUAAUAUUGUCUAAUGCUAAAAGUUAAUGCUGUUCAACACAUCUGUAGUUCUUUGCUAGCUUGAUAUUGAUAAGCAAAUGCAUGCCUUGUCAUUGUUGCCCUCAGACUGUACUACAAACUAAUUACCCUUCUCGUUACACGACUAGGUUAAGCGUUGGAUGUGAGCAACUAACUCGAGGCCUGACUGCAACUGGUUCCUGCCGAUGCUUUCUAGAUUCAGCACAGGAUGGCUUGCCCUGAAACGGCAAACUGCUCCUUGGGAGGUCGCUACCAGGAGAGAUCUUGAAGGAUGAAUUAGAUGUGCUGCUGAACUGGACCUGGGGUGUAAUUCAGCAGGAUGCAGCGUCUUUGAAAGAUGCGAUGGAAAUAUGCCAUGUAGAUCAAACAUUACACUCUGACAAGUAUAGUAAGGAAUCCUGUCUGCUUUAUUCAUGGCAUUUCUAUCUGCUUUGUUAAACAUUUGGCACCUGAACGUGGCCCUGACUCUGUCAAGACCAGCCUUAAAAUGGGAUUGGAAAUCAAAUCUGGUACUAACAUGCAUAAUACUGUCAUUUUGCAUGCUAAUUAAAUGCUGUAUGCAGUGAUGUGUAUUCAUGGAUGCCAAAGGAAGCCAGGCUUCAAGAAAUAAAAUUCAAAACACA